rnacentral:lncRNA from 1 species
AUCCGACCGCACAACGUCAGUGAGGAGCUUGCCACUGCAGAUAUGCCUAUGAUCUAUAUGCUGUAUGGUCCUGGGUUCACUGCCACAGGGAAUCGGAUGUCACAAUAAACUGCCACCAGGUGCAAUGCCAGCAGGCAUUGUUGCAACAACUCACCUUGAGUACUGACUCCAUGUUACGACUCUAUGGUGUGACACUCGCUGAAUAGUUCAGACCACUGGUUCGAGCUAUACCGUCCGCCUGUUAGCGGAGCCCGAUCAUCAUCGUCCGCUUCGCAGCUGGGUUGGGACUGAGCGGAGACCAUCAUGAAGACCUGGAAUGAAACAAACACAUAUUGGACAUUUAAACUGCAACAACAAAUUACCAUACCUGACACGUGUCUUACUCGUGCGUGUGCAAGCUUCGCCAUUAGACAAGGACAGAAGGCGACAGCCGGCUUCAUGGGGAAUCGAGAGGCCGACAUGGCUUUCACAUGUUAUUCCAUCACAAAGUAAUCCCGAGCACGCACCACGAAUCCUGGAAGAACAAGCCUCACGGGCCCAACAAAUGCGCUGCGGUUUCGAGGCAGCCCCCAAACAGGUUCGUUUAAUUGUCACUUUGUCAACCCCACACCCUCUGAAUCACCAGUAAUGAUAUUUCACAGGUAUCACCGCACAGAUAAGUUACAACAACCAUGGCACCCGCUCGUGGUGUACAAAUGUCUCAUCGUGUGUGGUUUUGUUUGAGCUUGUACGUCCAGGAUCCAAGGCUGUGGAAUUGUUGUGGUUGUGUUAAUGUGGUUUAACCGAUGACUGCAAACUCCAAACAGUUGUGCUUAAAAAAGAAGUUUAUGCACCUUAACCUGCCUGAAUCCACC